rnacentral:lncRNA from 1 species
AUGAAAUCUCUCCAAGUUUUCUUUAUGAUAGCCAUGCUCAUUAUGGCUUUAGCCAUUACUCUCUCUGCAACGGUACCAAACCAAAGAGAAGCAUUCUUCAGGCCAGGAUCGUCGACAAGCCGGUUCCUUGCCUCUCAGUCGUCUCCAGGUCGGGGUGGAUGCGACCAAAACCCUCUUGCUUGUAGAGCCACUGAAGGCAAUGCAGGGCCAGAUUGCUGCAGCAAAAAAUGUGUGGAUUUGAGGACAGACAUAUCCAACUGUGGUUCUUGUGGGAAGAGAUGCAUCAGCUCAGAGAUAUGCUGCAACGCUUAUUGUGUGAAUCCAAUGUCUCACAAUCAAAACUGUGGCAAGUGCUCCAACCACUGCAAGGAAGGCACUUCUUGUGACAAUGGAUUGUGCGACUAUGCAUAG